AAGCAUAUGAUGAAUUACUCGGAUUCCCCUUCAGGACAUUAUGGGUGAUGCAAAAUCGAGUUUCUGAUGCU